rnacentral:rRNA from 1 species
UGUGGUUAAAAAGCUCGUAGUUGGAUCUCAACAGCCUUGAAGCGGUUAACUUUGUAGUUUUACUGCUUUAUAGGCUGUGCUUUUGAUGGAGGUUUAGGGGUGCUCUUGAUCGAGUGUCUCUGGAUGCCAGCAGGUUUACUUUGAAAAAAUUAGAGUGCUCAAAGCAGGCUAAAAUGCCUGAAUAUUCGUGCAUGGAAUAAUAGAAUAGGAUGUCGAUCCUAUUUUGUUGGUUUUCGGGACUCGACAUAAUGAUAAAUAGGGACAGUCGGGGGCAUUUGUAUUCAAACGACAGAGGUGAAAUUCUUGGACCGUUUGAAGACAAACUACUGCGAAAGCAUUUGCCAAGAAUGUUUUCAUUAAUCAAGAACGAAAGUUAGAGGUUCGAAGGCGAUUAGAUACCGCCCUAGUUCUAACCAUAAACGAUGCCAGCUAGCGAUCUGCCUGCGUUUUUACUGUAGACUGGGCAGGAAGCUUCCGGGAAACCAAAGCAUUUGGGUUCCAGGGGAAGUAUGGUUGCAAAGCUGAAACUUAAAGGAAUUGACGGAAGGGCACCACCAGGAGUGGAGCCUGUGGCUUAAUUUGACUCA